rnacentral:sRNA from 1 species
CUGAGAUGUCUGACGUGCAGGAUGAGAACCUGCGCAGGUUCGACUGAAUCGCCGGGAGCGAUUCAGGAGCGCAUCACCCGGAGGGCGAGGCUCCGGACGGGCCGAGGCAAAUCCUGCACGACCCACCA